rnacentral:rRNA from 1 species
CGGCCAUACCAUGUUGGUUCUCGUUAGAUCACAGAAGUCAAGCAUCAUUGGGCGCGGUCAGUACUUGGGUAGGUGACCACCUGGGAACACCGCGUGCCGUU